UCGUUACGUGAUUUUUUGCAGAAAAGGCUCGUGGGUGUCCUGAGUGCCUAGGAAGCUGCACACCCCUUUUCCUGAAGGCCUGAAGGAAGACAGCUGGCCCAGUGACCCUCAGAAGUGGAUUGCAGAAGUGGGGGUACCUCCCAGGUUCUCCAGGUUUGUCUUCAGAGUGUUGUAGGCGGCCGUUCGGGACUUCAGGUCCAUCUCGAUCUGCGCCAGUUGCUGUUUUGGG
rnacentral:lncRNA from 1 species